AGAAUACACACAGGUGAAACUCCUGGCCAAAUACCCCAUAUUCAAGCUUUGCUACAGAAAUCCAUCUUUAAGAAUGAGGAACUCUUUCCUACCUGAGAUACGAAGGGAGGCAUGACCAAGCUGUAUCAAAAGUACCCUGUCUGCUCUUGACUCCAUUCAUGGAGGAACUUCUGUCUCAGACUACUGGACGGAUUCCACAUGAGCAGAAGCUGGCCUGGAAAUAAGCUACUAUCUGAAAAACAAAGGGCUGUAAUGAGGUGGCUGGCCACGGAUUCUCUGAAAAUGAAAUAUUCUCCCAUACGCUGUUGUUGGUUGACUUGUGGUGAGCAUAUGACUCUCCUUGCUACAUAUAUGGGAUUGGAGGAUACUGGUUUUGGGUCCAUGAUGUGUACUUUAUGUUGCCUUGAGAAGCGAUGAUGACUUAAAUUUCACGUACAAUGGUAUGAUGCUGAGGCCCAGCCUUGGAGACAGUUGUGGAAACCAACAUGAGGAAAAUGAUGAUGAUCCCUUCUGUACGAUUGAGUUUGGUGCUUGAGAACUUGAAGUACCAGAGGCCAUCAUGUGGAGCUUGUGGAUAUGCUCCUCCAUAAAAAUUUCCCAUGUUAUCCUUAUACUUUAAUCAUUAUCCCAGUUCCUGGGCAUUUUAGCAUUCGCUGAGCACCACAACUCACUUUGUGACUUUUAGUGGAAAAUUCUUUUCAGAAUGGCUGCAUGGCAUGAACUGUCAUAAAGGAGUGAUUGACUUCGAUUGGUUGUCAUGACCAAUGGUUUACCAGUCACUGAGGGUCAUCAAUCAAGGGGGUGUUUCAGGUCUUGGAGGCAUGCUGCACCUGAACCAAUGUGUGCAGCUUUUCUCUCAAGCAAUGGUUGAAACUGGACAAAAAGGCACCUUGAGAUGAUCUUGGCAUGUUGUUCUAGGAUGCUCAUGCUUCUUUUCCAAAUGGAGGGUAAAUAGACUUUUGUCCUGCUCUAAGGAAAAGAGAGAAUGAGCUUUGUUUAAUAAUAGUCAAUGUAUCUGUGGCUCAUGAUGUGAAUGACCAUGUCCUCAGCUGGGCACCUUCUGGUAACUUAGUUCAGAAUGGUAUCACAGAGCAAAGAGAAUCCACUGGUCUCCUGGUGAGAGGGGGCACACAAGUCAAUAAUGCCUCUCAAACAUUUUCCAACCUCCACCUUUCUUCAUAACUCAAGAUAUAAGAACACCCACAGGUGAAAUCCCUGGCAAAAUGCCCCAUAAUCAAGCUUUGCUAUGGAAUCAAUCUUUGAGAAUGAGGAAUUCUUGGCCACCUGAGAUAUGAAGGAAGACAUGUACAAGCUGUAUAAAAAGUACCCUGUCUGGGCUUGACUUCAAUCAUGGAGGAACUUCUGUCUCAGUCUACUGGAUGGAUUACACAUGAGCAGGCAUCUAAUUUCAACAUUAUGUGGAUAAACCGAUUGUAUGAGACAGCAAAAUUAGAACCUGGCCUGGAAAUAAACUGCUAUUCCAAAAACAAAGGGCUGUAACAACGUGGAUGGCCACAGAUCCUCUGAAAAUGAAAUAUUCUCCCAUACGCUGUUGCUGGUUGAUGUGUGAAGCUGGCCUGGAAAUAAGCUGCUAUCCCAAAAACAAAGGGCUAUAACAAGGUGGCUGACCACAGAUCCUCUGGAAAUGAAAUAUUCUCCCAAACGCUGUUCCUACUUGACUUGUGUGGAAAAUUCUGCUCAGAAUGGCUACAAGGCAUGCACCGUGGUAGAGGAGAGAAAGACUCGAUUCGUUAUCAUGAACAAUGGUUUACUAGUCACUGCCAGUCAUCAAUCAAGGAACUGUCCUUCAGCUUGGAGUCAAGUGAGACCUUCUCCAGUGCAUGCAGUUUUUCUCUCAAGAACUGGUUGAAACUGGACAAAAAGGUGCUUUGAGAUGCUCUUGGCAUGCUGUUCUAGGAGGCCCAUUAUUCUUUUCCAAACGGAGGGCAAAUAUACUUUUGUCCUGCUCUAAGGAAAAGAGAGAAUCAGGCUUGUUUUAUAAUAGUCAAUGUAUCUGUGACUCUUGAUGUAAAAGGCCAUGUCCUCAGUUGGGCACCUUCUGGAACUCAGAGAGCUUGGAAGGGUAUCACAGACCAAAGAUAAUCCACUGGUCUCCUGAUGAGAGGGGACAAACAAGUAAAAAAUUACUGUCCAACAUUUUUCAUACCACCACCUUUCUUCAGAACUCAAGAUAUGAGAACACACAGGGUAAAUCCCUGGCAAAAUGCCCCAUA